GCCUUGGCAACGCCGGGCAGCCCUGCUGCUGUCUGUCUGUCAGGCUUGGUCAGAACCACAGACGUGACACACGAUGCAUUUGCAGUUACACUGAAUGCUGACAAGGCAGAGUGAAAUAGUGAAAAAUGCCAUUCUGUUCUUUGGAGAAGAUAUGAUUGUUGUGCCUCACACUGAAAUAUCUGAGCAGUGCUGCUUCAAACCAUCAGCUGCUCUUCCUGAGAU
rnacentral:lncRNA from 1 species